rnacentral:misc_RNA from 1 species
GAUGAAGAACGUAGCGAAAUGCGAUAAGUAAUGUGAAUUGCAGAAUUCAGUGAAUCAUCGAAUCUUUGAACGCACAUUGCGCCCGCCAGCACUCUGGCGGGCAUGCCUGUCCGAGCGUCAUUGCUGCCCUCAAGCACGGCUUGUGUGUUGGGCCCCGCCCCCCGGCUCCCGGGGGGCGGGCCCGAAAGGCAGCGGCGGCACCGCGUCCGGUCCUCGAGCGUAUGGGGCUUCGUCACCCGCUCCGUAGGCCCGGCCGGCGCCCGCCGGCGACCCCCCUCAAUCUUUUCAGGUUGACCUCGGAUCAGGUAGGGAUACCCGCUGAACUUAAGCAUAUCAAUAAGCGGAGGA